AACGAACGCUGGCGGCAUGCCUAACACAUGCAAGUCGAACGAUUGCCCUCGGGUGUUGGUGGCUCACGGGUGCGUAACGCGUGGGAAUCUGCCCUUAGGUUCGGACUAACAGCUGGAAACGGCUGCUAAUACCGGAGGAUAUCACGAGAUCAAAGCUGUAUCUCCAGAGGAUGAGGUGGCGUUGGAUUGGGUAGGUGGAUGGGUAAAGGCCUACCAAGCCGACGAUCCAUAGCUGGUCUGAGAGGAUGAUCAGCCACACUGGGGCUGAGACACGGCCCAGACUGGUACGGGAGGGAGCAGUGGGGAAUAUUGGAGGAGGAGCGCAAGUCUGAUCCAGCCACGCCGGGUAAGUGAUGAAGGCGGUAGGGUUGUAAAGCCGUUUUAGCCGGGAAGAUAAUGACGGUACCGGGUGAAUAAGCCCCGGCUAACUCCGUG
rnacentral:rRNA from 1 species